rnacentral:lncRNA from 1 species
AAAGAUAAAGAAACAGCCACGUGGACGUGUGGUGGAAGAUCGUUUGAAGGAGGAGAAGAGCAAGUCAAAGGCCCUGAGGCAAGAGCACACUGGGCAUGUUCAAGCAUCGGGUGCUAUGGGAUACCUGCAUUUCACUGUACAACCUUGGACUCUCCCUCCCUCCAUGAGCAAUAGGAGAACUCCUAGGAAUAAGUCUAACACUAGGACUUCCAGCAAUCUUGAAACUAAAGCCAGAGGUCACUGUGAACUACACAAACUAAAUUCCUCCAAAUACAAACCAAGCUUCCCACCCAACUCCCCUUAGCUGAAAGGGUGCUCACAGGUACUCCAACACCUCCUGAAGUGUGUUGGAAGUGUGCCCAAGUGGAAAGCGUCAAUAUACUUCAUCAAUUGCUAAGAAGAUAUCAUAUUGUAAUGUUAUUGAUAAUUCAAUUAUUAAAAUGUAUUAGUGUUA